GACGGAGGAUGCAAGUGUUAUCCGGAAUUAUUGGGCGUAAAGCGUCUGUAGGUUGCCUAACAAGUCUGUUGUUAAAGGUUAAAGCUUAACUUUAAAACUGCAGCAGAAACUGCUAGGCUUGAGUACAGUCGAAGUAGAGGGAAUUUCCAGUGAAGCGGUGAAAUGCGUAGAUAUUGGAAGGAACACCAAUGGCGAAAGCACUCUACUAGACUUUUACUGACACUCAGAGACGAAAGCUAGGGUAGCAAAUGGGAUUAGAUACCCCAGUAGUCCUAGCUGUAAACAAUGGAUACUAGAUGUUGAACAGUCGCUGCAGUAUCAAAGCUAACGCGUUAAGUAUCCCGCCUGGGAAGUAUGCUCGCAAGAGUG
rnacentral:rRNA from 1 species